rnacentral:rRNA from 1 species
AGGCGGAAGUAAGAAAUCAACAGGGAUUGCCCUAGUAACGGCGAGUGAAGCGGCAACAGCUCAGAUUUGAAAUCUGGCCCAUUAGGGUCCGAGUUGUAAUCUGUAGAGGAUGCUUUUGGCGAGGUGCCUUCUAAGUCCCCUAGAACGGGGCGCCACAGAGGGUGAGAGCCCCGUACAGUUGGACACCGAACCUUUGUAAAGCUCCUUCGACGAGUCGAGUAGUUUGGGAAUGCUGCUCAAAAUGGGAGGUAUAUUUCUUCUAAAGCUAAAUACCGGCCAGAGACCGAUAGCGCACAAGUAGAGUGAUCGAAAGAUGAAAAGCACUUUGAAAAGAGGGUUAAAUAGCACGUGAAAUUGUUGAAAGGGAAGCGCUUGUGACCAGACUUGCGCCCGGUGAAUCAUCCAGCGUUCUCGCUGGUGCACUUUGCCGGGCUCAGGCCAGCAUCGGUUCUCCCAGGGGGAUAAAGGUCUCGGGAACGUAGCUCUCUUCGGGGAGUGUUAUAGCCCGUGGCAUAAUACCUUUGGGGGGACCGAGGACCGCGCUCUGCAAGGAUGCUGGCGUAAUGGUCAUCAGCGACCCGUCUUGAAACACGGACCAAGGAGUCAAGCAUUAGGGCGAGUCUUUGGGUGUAAAACCCGCAGGCGCAAUGAAAGUGAACGGAGGUGAGAGCUUCGGCGCAUCAUCGACCGAUCCUGAUGUUCUCGGAUGGAUUUGAGUAAGAGCCUUACCGCUUGGACCCGAAAGAUGGUGAACUAUGCCUGAAUAGGGUGAAGCCAGAGGAAACUCUGGUGGAGGCUCGCAGCGGUUCUGACGUGCAAAUCGAUCGUCAAAUUUGGGCAUGGGGGCGAAAGACUAAUC